AUGAUGAUUAAGGUUUGCAUUCCCAUUGGUAUCAAUUUGUUCACGAGUUGCAAUUUGGUUUUUGGGAUGUCUUUAAGUUGGCGUCAAGGCUUAAGUGCUGCUUUGCUGCAAAAAGAGGUAAUUUCUCAGCAUGAUAUGAUGAGUAGCAGCUUUGGUUUGGUAGGUGGUAUUAUGCUUGGCAACGGGCAACAAGAUGGAGAUGGACAUGGAAAUGCUGAUACCCGACCUACUAAAUUUAAAUUACACACGCACAAGGUUGGAGCCUGGGAAUUUUAUGAAACCGCCUGUGUUGCUGCCUGCCAUGUCCUUGCAGCAUGA